CCUACGGGGGGCAGCAGUGGGGAAUAUUGGACAAUGGGGGAAACCCUGAUCCAGCGAUGCCGCGUGAAGGAAGAAGGUUUUCGGUUUGUAAACCUCUUUUAUCAGGGACGAUAAUGACGGUACCUGAAUAAAAAGCUCCGGCUAACUACGUGCCAGCAGCCGCGGUAAUACGUAGGGAGCAAGCGUUAUCCGGAUUUACUGGGUGUAAGGGGAGCGUAGACGGUGCCGCAAGUCUGGAGUGAAAGGGCGGGGCCCAACCCCGGAACUGCCUUGGAAACUGUGUAACUGGAGUGCAGGAGAGGUAAGCGGAAUUCCUGGUGUAGCGGUGAAAUGCGUAGAUAUCAGGAGGAACACCAGCGGCGAAGGCGGCUUACUGGACUGUAACUGACGUUGAGGCUCGAAAGCGUGGGGAGCAAACAGGAUUAGAUACCCCUGUAGUC
rnacentral:rRNA from 1 species